rnacentral:rRNA from 1 species
GAACCGUUAGGAGUAACCUGAGAACCCGAAAGGUCGAAGGGAGAAUUCAUUCGCGUCUCGACGCGGGCAUCGGACGGAGUCGAGCGACGGAGACGUGUUCGCACGUAUAUCGCGCCCUCCGUUUGGCGAACCCGCGACGAACGCGUGCACUUUUCUCCUGGUAGGACGUCGUGAUCCGUUGGGCGUCGGUCUACGGCCCGCGGUGGAGCUCGUCCGUACGUUUCGCGACGUACGGGCGGACCCGCGGUGUCCCGGCCGACUCGCUCGACGGUAACAGAAUGGUUGGAGGCCGCUCCUCGGAGCGUUCGGCUCGCSGCAAGCGCGCCAGAUGCGUCGGCGAUCGGACCUAGUGCCGAUUCCGACCUCCGGUGACUGUUGGCCGCGAAGUUCUCGAACASACCUUCUAAAACAACUUUCUCUCGUUCGCGCGGGGGAGAGUUGAAACCGAUCUGCGACGCUAUAGCUUUGGGUAAUUUCAGGACCCGUCUUGAAACACGGACCAAGGAGUCUAGCAUGUACGCGAGUCAUUGGGAACGAUUAAACCUAAAGGCGCAAUGAAAGUAAAGGUCCCCCUCGCGGGGACCGAGGGAAGACGGGUGGUUUCACUUCAACCGGUGGCCGCCCCGCACUCCCGGGGCGUCUCGUUCUCAUCGCGAGAAGAGGCGCACCAMGAGCGUACACGCUGGGACCCGAAAGAUGGUGAACUAUGCCUGGUCAGGACGAAGUCAGGGGAAACCCUGAUGGAGGUCCGUAGCGAUUCUGACGUGCAAAUCGAUCGUCGGAACUGGUAUAG